UACGUAGGUGGCGAGCGUUGUCCGGAUUUACUGGGCGUAAAGGGAGCGUAGGCGGACUUUUAAGUGAGAUGUGAAAUACCCGGGCUCAACUUGGGUGCUGCAUUUCAAACUGGAAGUCUAGAGUGCAGGAGAGGAGAAUGGAAAUUCCUAGUGUAGCGGUGAAAUGCGUAGAGAUUAGGAAGAACACCAGUGGCGAAGGCGAUUUCUCUGGACUGUAACUGACGCUGAGGCUCGAAAGCGUGGGGAGCAAACAGGAUUAGGAUACCCCGGUAGU
rnacentral:rRNA from 1 species